CGGACUCGUCCUCAUGAGGAGUAAAAGCUGCAGGAUACCAGCUGCCACUUGGAAGCAGUCUUGCUGCACCAUGGCUACCACCUCAGCGGAUAGUUCUGGUAGCUAUGAAAAGGGGCAGGUGGAGUUGAGCCAGAGUUCCAGGAGCUCUGUUUUUGACUACUCAGAAGAUACCUUUGAGUCCUUCAGCGAGGAGGAAGCAGCCUGCUGCCAGCGUGAGAGCGAACCACCUGAACUGUGUUGCUCUGUAGAGGAUGUAGAGUCUUCUGCCGUGUCGGAUGGGUUAGAAAGCAAGUCAUUUCUGGCAGGCCAAAAUCACACAGAUGAGCAGUCUGAAGUAGUUGGUUCUGCGGCUGUGGAAAGAUAUUUCAUGAGAAAAUGGAUGGAAGUUCUAAAAAAUAAGGAAGCUGUCAUUAAGCAAGGCAAAUCUGUCAUCAAAACUCAUUCUGUAAUUGACACUUGCUUUGUUGAUGUGUGGCUAACAGAAGUUGCUGAGUUCCCAGAUGAAGAACUGGAUGCUCUCCGGUCUUUUUGCACCGUUAAGGUCAGAAGGAUGCAUCAGGGGCUGAUCCCUAAGCAGGCAAGUGGGGUCAGGUCAAGGAAGCUGCAGCAUGGAUUCACGUCAAAGAAAUCAGAGACAAGUGACUUGAACUGCACAGUUCCUGGUCAGUUAAUGAAUAGAAUCCGCCUGAAGAACAUCAGGGAGACCAUUAAACAGGUGACAGAAGCUCAAGUGCACCAAUCUUCACAGUGCCCUGACUGUAAGAAGAAGAAGGCAGAGCUAGCUGAGAUCACCUUUCUCAGACAAAAGAAGGCACUAGUGGAAAGAGCUUUACUCCAGGAAAAAUUGGAAGAACAAUUUUAUUCCAGAGAUGCGAUUACUCUUAUAGGAAAAACACUCGGAAGCUUUCCCAAACUAUCAGAGGAUCCCAGGAACUUAUGGCAAAGGCUGAAAGACAAAGCUGAAGGAAGGACUGAGUUCUGUGAACGUCCGAAAUCUCCAGCUUUAUUGGAAGGAUGAGGGCCAAAAUUACAGAUUGUCCUUUCUCUUAGAAAUUCAAACUACAGUGACAAAUUGAAGCACAUCAGAUACCAGCAUCAUGUAGGUACCUGAUACAAAGAGAUUACUCCCAAGGAGACCGGCAGCGGCCGCCCCCCUGCUGAUGUUGCCUGGAAGCCCAGCCAGGAGGCAUUGUGGCCGGGCUCUUCUGCGGAGCUGCUUUCUGGGAUGGGACUGCAGGAAAAGGGAGUUCUGGUCAAUCCCUAUCUCCAUCUCUCUAUCUUGCUUCUACCCACCCAUGUAUUUGGAAACGAGGGUUUAAUAUUUUGUCUUAAUUAACAGAGGAGGAGCUUGAUAUAUCUCUGGGGCAGCCUCUAGAGGAAGGCGCUGUGCACUGAUGGGUGUAGCGUUGUUCUGAUUGCACCAGCUUGAGAGGAGCCCAGAUUUAGGGUACCAAGAAUGCUCAAACCACUUCAAUCCUCCUCUGCUUCUGGAGAGCAGCUGUGUGUUUGUAUUCUAGUGUUCCUUGCAUCGUUUCUUUUGAAGACUGGACUAGCUGUACCUGCUGUUUGCUUCUACCCACAGCAAUCCACGCCACCCUCCCAGCACAUUUUCUCUUAUGCUUCGGGGGCAGUCUGCAAACAGAAACUCUGUUUUCUGCUUCCUGUGCAUCCGUCUCUGUUCUCCCUUCCCAUGCCAAGAGAUCUGCGUGCCUUCCCUUAGCACUUGACUAAUUAUCGGUUGACUGUUCCGUUCCUGAGCUUUCCUCAAGCUUUUUGCUUAAGCUCUGCUUUGCAGUUGCAGUUGGUUGGUAACGGUUUGCCAAACGUAACGCUGUCAGCUGUCCACGUCUCCAGCUUUUUUGGUCUUCCCUUCUAAGGUACCAGCGCUUCGAGUCCUGAAGGGAGGAACUGAAAGCUGUCGGAGCGGUAACGUUUGUCACCGUUAUUAGUUUUGUUUUCCUCUAUUAAAAUGUAUGCAUGUUUGGCCAAGUUACGCAUACUAGUACAGUACAGACAGUGAGUUGUUCAAAAAAGUUAACGUGAGCCUGUGAGGAUCAAUAGGCUAGUGUCCUACAACCUGUGGCAAACACAGCCUCCUUCAGAGGGCAGUUGCAGGGAGAAGUCUCGUUUAGUCCCUCUGAAUUGAGCGACUAAAUCAGUAGAAGUCCAUGACAGCCUGCCCUUAAGUCCAAGCUUUCAUCUGCACUGCUUAUUCUCUUCGUAACCACAUCGCAAAGUCUUGCUGUUAACACAGUUAAGUGUGGUCUUGGAGAACUUGCUUUAAUUUCUGCCUUUAUCUUUUCGAAGUGUUCAUUAACUGCAUGUUCCCCAUUUUCUGGAUACUCAAGGUGAUACCUGAUUUGCAACAGCUCUGUGUACUUAGGUCUUCAGCUGGAACCGAGAUUUCUGCAUUUAAAGCACCAUACAGUGUUAAGCAUGCUACAAAAAGAGUGCUCUCAUUUUCUAAAUUGGAUAUCCACGUUAAUGAAUACUUUUACAACACACAACCUUUCUGAUCAUUUUUUCAGCAGUGUAUCCAGAUGGAAUGGAAGCGCUGGGACAAUAAAUUAAGCAAAACUGUAUUACUAAUGCGUACCUUAGAAAAGCCAUGAAUAAAUGUAUCGUGUGCUCGCAGAGUAGAGUUUGAGUUUGGUGAAACAAAGUGGGUUAAACUAAGCAGAGAUGAAAUGAUCUUGUUCUAUAAUAAAGCAUUCAAUCAGGGAGUUGCUCAGCUGUUUCUGAGUAACCCCCUGUGGAGGCAAGCCAUCAGAAACGGGCUACACGCUAAACAACAAGAAGAAAACAAAUUCUGAAAAGCUGCUCAUUAACUGAGAAUCAUCCACCCUUUACGCUGAACGAGGCAAGGGUCCUGUGGAAAAAAUAACGUGGUCAUGUAAGUGAAGGCGGUAGCGCUGCGAAACGCAAGCGAUUCAAAUUAAGGUUGCGUUGGCAAUUGUAAUUCUGCAAUUUCUGAACUUCUGGCUAUUUGACUUAGCAUCCUCUAUAAUGUUCUUUUAACUUGGAAUAUUGUGUGUAAUAUCCAUAAAUGUUGUUUUUAAAUAAAACUGGUUUGUCUCCAAGUCAUGUCAUUUUCACACUGCCUGCUGUCACCGUUUCUAAAGGAGAAGCAGCUGGUGUGCUAAAAGAAGUUCUGGACUUUGAAAUCCUGCAAGGUUAGGAACUGAGUGGUUGGAGGGAGAUAUUUACAGAAGAUGUCAUCUUUUUUGGUCUGCUAGAUUACUCCCACUGUUUUCUCCACUGUGUUUAAUGGAGCAAAGUGUAAACAUUUGCUGUGAGGUGCUUUGUGUCCGUAGUCUGCGAGUAACCCUAACAGGAGCUUGGUGGGGUUCCACGGUUGUGGUUUCUCCGUCCAAUGUUCUCGCUUCAUGAACAGAAAUUUGGGGUUCUUCAUAACUGUCAGCUGCAGUGUGGCAUCUGAGAGUCAAACCGAGCUCUGCUGGCUCAAACGUUAGCAGCAGGACAGAUUCUGUAAUCCCGACUUGGUUAAGUGCUCUGUUUGUUGUGUUUGGAGCAGAACAGAAUCCAGUUCCCGCUCGGAUCGCUGCGCAGGCUCCGUCAUGAGAAAUACAAAAUACCCAGAGUGGAUGGUGAGCGUUACAGUGAGCAGGUGCGUGUUUGACUACAGGGCCCAGGUCUAGUAAGAAGAAAAAACACAUGCUCCUCAUUUACUUGUUUAUUUUACUUGUUUACAAAAGCCAUUUUAAGGUAUCUCCUUAGUUACUUAAGGACAUUUUAAUCUAGCAGUAGUUUUGUGUUCGUAGUUACAUGAAAUAUAAAUGUUCGGUUUCUCUUGC